rnacentral:lncRNA from 1 species
GACAAGCUCGGUCAGGUCAUCGCUCGGCGACCGUUCGGUGGUGCCGCUGAUAAGAUGCCCUUCUUGUUGCGCUCGUGUGAAGUUCUAUCUCUCGAACACGGAGAAGCACAAGGGCUGGGUCUUCUGCAGGUGUCAUGUUGGUGUAAGUGGAGUGCAUCCGUUGGCGUUUGUUAAUUUUGGUCGAUUUUUGUGGAAUUUGUGAUGGUGAUUUUUGGCGUCUGUUCGUUUCUUUUGAUCUUCAGGACCAUUUCUGGCAUUGGGAGUUGUAAUACGUUGUCUACUUACUGGAUAAUCAGUUUCACGUUGGCAAUGAAGCCGUACGUGCAUUAGGAGCUGCAGAGGAUAGGAGGGAAGAGCUGAUGCGAGCAAGGAAUCGAAGAUAUGCAGGUGGAGGUGCAGUUGAUCUUUCAGGCUUUGAAGAUGGAAUUCAUGGAAGAGUUGCUGCUCAAAUGAGAAAUCAGCAAGCAGAGGCACUCGUGGGAUUAGCCAAUCAAAUAUUGGUGAUGAUGAAGGCACUGGUGGCAGCACUCAUUGUACUUGCAGUGCUCGUAGCUAUUUCUCUGCUGAAGAAGUGAUGGAGUUGAUGCAGUGUUUCCAGUAGCAUGAUGCCUAGUUUGUUAGGAGAUGAACUGGUAGUAUGAAGUGAUGCUUUUGCAUUAUAAGUCUAAAGUUGAUGUAGUUUCCAGUUUGCAGCUGGAGUUGAUGUAGUGUUGUUAGUCUGAAGUGACAAUCUUUUGCAUUGUAAGUGAUGCUUUUGCAAUAUGUAAGCAAGUGACAAUCUGUUACUGCAAAUGAAAGUUAAUUUGGCUUGUUGAAACUAUUGAUGAUGUCAUAUGAAGAUAUUAUUUUUAUGCAAGUUGAUUCUGUGUACAUUAGGACACGAUGCAGAUAAAAUGGAAGUUAAUGUUCUGCAAGUUAUCAUCUUGCUGUCAUAUGAAGAGAUCAUUUUUUUGUUACCAUAUUUGGCUUCUGUGUACAUGGGAAAGCUAUUUGAUGUUGUUAUCAUCUUGCUGUCAUAUUUGGCUUCUGUGUACAUUUGACCAUUGUUAUGAUUGUAGCACAUACAAUUCAGUUACACAAGUGCAUUGAGGGAGAAAAGCAUAUGCAUAAUUAGCACUCCAUAUCUGGGAAGUACCAUCAAAAUUAUGGUUUAUACCAACAAAACAUAUCUGGGAAGUACCAAAAUACACAAGUGCAUUCAGUUACAAAAUGAUCAACAAUUGAUCCAUACUCAUGUGUACACAUCAGUAAGGAUCAAUUAUAACAUUUCUCAUCAGUCACAUACUACUACAUCAUGCCUUGGAGAUUAAGAAGUACAACAUGCUACACAACAGGUACAUCAUCUGAAGAUGUCAAACAUUGAAGUGCUUCUGGUCUUACUGGGAAGCACAAGAUCAUCAUCUGAAUCAGACUGUGGACCUGCAGGCCUUUUGCCAAGGGCAAUACCUAUUAGCCUCAUUUCCUCCUUCCUAGACUCAGCAGCAGCUACCCUACCUGCUCCUUUUCUUGCUACUGCAUCCUCCUUUUGAGCAUUCUUCUGAGCUUGCUGCCUUGCUUUAUUCUCAGCAGCCACAGCUUUGUUGGUCUCCAUAAUGAUCUGCCUUGUCUCUUCCUUAGCUUUCUUUGCUAUUGGAGCUUCUUCUUUUCUCUUCUCUCUCUUCUGAGCUUGUGACUGCCUCUUCCUCUAUGCUUUCAGUGCUUUCCUCUCCUCUUGCUGAUGUCUCUUCCUGGCAGCUUCCUCUGCUUUCUUUUGUUGUUCCUCCCUUCUUGUGACGCCUCAAGACCGGAGCUUCAGAUGCCUUCCAGGGUUUCUGGGUUUCGUCGUGUGAUUUGUUUGGUUCGAUACUUUCAUUUUUUGCAUCAUGUGCAUUGCAUCAUGUCAUCUUGCAACAUGUUUUAAAACUCAACCAAAUAAAAUCGGAUGGAUCUUCGGUCCAUUUAAAUCGAGGGAUAUUCACAUGGUGAAAUUCUCUUUAUAACAUAUAAAAGUCUCCUACUAUUAUUAGGGAGCUAUUGUAAAUAUUCCAUUAACUUGGAAUCACCCAUCACACAAUUGCAUUACUCUUUAACUCCUUCUUCUUGUCCUUGAUCCUUCCUUUUUACUUAUUGCCCAACUUCAACUUGGUUUCACCCAAGUUUCUAUCACAUACAAACUUCUAUUUCCUUCUUUAUUCCAUUUAUUUUUCUUGUGGCAUUUUCACUAUUCGGAAAAAUGUUCAACCUAUCCCUAUAAAUCCUAAAUGAUGCCUACACCCUCUCUGUAACUUCUUUUCUCAAUUGGACUUGUUUUGGUUGGGUUCAAAAAUAGCUCAAGUUUGAAUUUAAUUCAUCCUCUCCGUAACUUGUUCGGAAAAAUUAUUUUUCUAUCUCUAAAAUGUCCAAAACAUUUUAAUCAAAUUGUAUAUAUUACCAGGACCCCAUAAACAUCUUCAUCUCUGUCGAAUUCCAUAUCUACUCUCGCCUUUCUUUUCUUCCAUUUUUCCUGUUUAGAGAAAAGCAAAGGAAGAAAGAAAUAGAGAGAGGGAAGGAUGGCCAGCCCAGCUGGGCCUCCCCAAACCCCCUCGCAGCCAGGCUGGCCAUUUCCACCAAGGUCCAGUCGGCCUCCAAGCCUGAAGCCCAGCCGACACCUCUUAUCUACCCUAGCCUGAUCCCCAGCGCUGGAUCGCUCCUUCACUCGUUCCCCUCCUUCCUCCUAGUGCCGCCGCAGGAGAGGAGCAGUGCCGCACACGCACACACCGACGCCAGGGAGUGCUCCCGGUCCGCCAGCCUUGUUCUUCCCCGCCGCCCCCUGGAGCAGAGCGAUCGCCGCCACCCAAUCGCACCAGGAAGGGUCCCCUCGGUCCCCCUCAUCCUCCUCCCGCAGGCGCCCUCACAGCCGCGCAUGGCCUUCUCCUCCAGCGCGCGCCUCCGCCUCCUGCGACCAUGGACGUGCGCGCGUCCACUCGACCCUGUCGCCUCCGUCUACAGCCAUCGCCGCCUCCUUGCUCGGGAGAGCAAAGGCUCGAUCCCGAGCAGCACGAGCGCUCUGCUUCUCCACCGAAGCUUUCCUCCUGUGCGCCGUCGCGUCCAGGUCCAGCAAGCCGCCGCCGCGCCUUCUAGCCUCCUCCUGAGCCCUGCAUCGAGCCGCCCCGGGCCGCGCAUCGCCAGACGCCGUCCCUGCUGCCGGGGAACCUCGGUUCCACCCGUUCCCCUUCUCGACGCCUUCGAUCCAUCACCUCGCAGAGGAGUGGACCAGCAGCACAAGCCACAUCGAGCCACGGCCAAAAACCUGCCGCGUUGACCAAGGCCCUGCUCAAGCCCUCGAAGUGCACGACUACACGACGCCCGCCAAGUUCGACUACCGCCGACACGUACCUCACCGUCGCCGUGUGUUAUCUUCCGUCAAGAACAAGACGGCCCGAACAUCUACGGAGCCCUGUACCACUAUCGACGCUAGAACGAGACCGACAAGUCUCUUUCCGACUAGUGUACCACUACCGUCGACGAAGACAUGUGCAUCGCAGGCGUCAAGUUCAACUACCGUCGACCGCAAAAGGGCUCGGGGUCAUUAAGCACCUCUUCGAAGGAACGGGAACAAUUACUGUCGCAAAGAUCGAGAGUACCUCUACGAAAAUGCCAAGUACCCCUUCAUGUUGGCAAGACCUGCAAGUCAGACCCCGAACGAUCGACGACUUGUGGACCAUGUACAACUUCAGGCGCCGAACACCCGGGUAGCACAAAUGCCAAGUACCCCAGAGACCACUUGGACGUCAAGUACCGCCGAGCCCCGAAGAACUCGGAUUCGUCAAGUUCCCCUUCGAACAGGGAACAACUACUUCCGUCUACAUUCCUUCGAACCCAAACCGUCCCACACCAUGCACUUCGAAGGUAUAACCGCUGAGCCGAUGACCCCGUGGUUGAAUGCUUGCGAUGUACGAGAUUCACCCUUUUGUUUGCACCGUGUUCAAUUUGUCACUCGUUUCCUUGUCACCAACUCGUGGGACACCCGGAAUCCGAGAGCGCCCCACCAUCUUUUGCACGCAUCCGCACACUUCUCCUUUGCAUUGGUAUCUCAAUCGAGUUACCGGAAUCGGAACGUUGCCGUGGCACCGUUUCAUUAUCGUUGCCGUGGCACCCCUUUCGUUUCUAUCACGAUGACAAAUGCCUCAUAUCUUAUCAUGUCAACAUUUCAAUAGAUACUGCAUAAAACUUGCACAUGUCAUUCGCAUCAUGGUAAUAACAUUUAAAUGUUUAAAAUUGUUGUUGCACCAAAUUGAUAAUUGCAUAUGGGGAUUUACCGGAUUUGUUGUUUGUUAUUUCUGGCCUCAUUUAAACUUGCCUAAAUGUUUAGUUUACUUAUGCUCCACCUCUUGCCAUGUUUAAACAACAUUUAAUAUUGUUGAGUACCUAACCGAGAGAGAACUAAAUAAUUGAUGUGGUGUUUCGUCAAUAUGCAGCCCGAUGCAUAUUGAGCUCCACUUAAUUUGUAGUAUUGUUUGUUGCACUUUGCCAUGCCAUGCCUCUUUAAACCGGACAUGCAUCAUACUUGGUUGUGCAUCAUGACAUGUUUAUGUGAUGGUUGUUUACUAUGUUGUUUGCUUCUUUCCGGUGUUGCUUCUUCGGGUUAGUUCCGAUAAUGUCGCGUUUGUGAGGACCCGUUCGACUACGUCUGAGGGAGUCCUGGAUUAGGGGGUGUUCGGAUAGCCGGACUAUACCUUCAGCCGGACUCCUGGACUAUGAAGAUACAAGAUUGAAGACUUCGUCCCGUGUCCGGGAGGGACUUUCCUUGGCGUGGAAGGCAAGCUUGGUGAUACGGAUAUGUAGAUCUCCUACCAUUGUAACCGACUCUAUGUAACCCUAACCCUAUCCGGUGUCUAUAUAAACCGGAGGGUUUUAGUCCGUAGGACAACAUAGACAACGAUAAUCAUACCAUAGGCUAGCUUCUAGGGUUUAGCCUCCUCGAUCUCGUGGUAGAUCUACUCUUGUACUAUCCAUAUCAUCAAUAUUAACCAAGCAUGACGUAGGGUUUUACCUCCAUCGAGAGGGCCCAAACCUGGGUAAAACUUCGUGUCCCUUGCCUCCUGUUAUCAUCCGGCCUAGACGCACAGUUCGGGACCCCCUACCCGAGAUCCGCCGGUUUUGACACCGACAUUGGUGCUUUCAUUGAGAGUUCCUCUGUGUCAUCGCCGUCAGGCUCGAUGGCCCCUACGAUCAUCAAUAGCGAUGCAGUCCAGGGUGAGACCUUCCUCCCCGGACAUAUCUUCGUCUUCGGCGGCUUCGCACUGCGGGCCAAUUCACUUGGCCGUCUGGAGUAGAUUGAAAGCUACGCCCCUGGCCGUCAGGUCAGAUUUGGAAGUUUAAACUACACGGCUGACGUCCGCGGGGACUUGAUCUUCGACGGAUUCGAGCCACUGCCGAGCGCGCCGCACUGUCCCGACGAGCAUGAUCUAGCUCUGCCGCCGAACAGUGCCCUGAAGGCCGCACCCGCAUCAGCUUCGACCCUUAAUUCGGAGCCAACUGCGCCGAUCGAGGAUGGGCGGUUGGAUGCCACCUCGGGGGCUGCGAUCCCAACAGCGAUUGAGCCGAAUACCAGCCCCGUACUCUGCGAGACUCGUGACUCCAAGGAGCUGGACUCCUCUCCGGACUCCGAACCCUUAGCACCCCUGCCGAUCGAAUCCGAUUGGGCAUCGAUCAUGGAGUUUACUGCUGCAGACAUCUUUCAGCACUCGCCUUUCGGCAAUAUCCUGGAGACACUGAAGUCUCUCUCUUUAUCAGGAGAGCCCUGGCCGGAUUGCGGUCAACAAGGUUGGGGUACGGACGAUGAAGAAAUUCAAAGCCCACACACCACCCACUUUGUAGCCACUGUCGACGAUUUAACCGACAUGCUCGACUUCAACUCCGAAGACAUCGACGGUAUGGACGCCGAUGAAGGAGAUGAUGAAGAAACAGCGCCUACUAGGCCCUGGAAAGCCACCUUGUCAUAUGACAUAUACAUGGUGGACACCCCAAAAGAGGGAGAUGGCGAUGGAACAACGGAGGAUGACCCCUCCAAGAAACAGCCUAAGCGCCGGCGUCAGCGGCGCCGCUCAAAAUCCCGCCAAAACAAAUACGGUGAUUCCAGCACGGGAGACAAUAAUACUCCGGAAAGUGCCGAAGAAAACCCCCUCCAGCAAGAUUUAGCACAGGAGGAUGGAGAAACCAGCCCUCAUGAGAGAGCGGCAGACAGAGAGGUCGAGGACGAUAAUUAUAUGCCUCCCUCCGAAGACGAGGCAAGCCUCAACGACGACGAAUUCGUCGUGCCAGAGGAUCCCGCUGAGCAAGAGCGUUUUCAACGCAGGCUUAUGGCCACGGCAAGAAGCCUCAAGAAAAAACAGCAACAACUUAGAGCUGAUCAAGAUUUUCUAGUCAACAGAUGGACUGAAGUCCUUGCGGCCGAAGAGUAUAAACUCGAACGCCCCUCCAAGAGCUACCCAAAGCGCAGGUUGCUACCCUGAUUAGAGGAGGAAGCACUUGAUGCGGCCGACCGGCCACCUCGUGGCCGCGACAAAGAGGCCUCUCGGCCCUCCACUCAAGCCGCACCCCGUACCAAGGCACGGGAAUAUGCGCCGGACUUAUGAGACAUGUUGGAGGACAAGGCAAGGCAAAUAAGAUCGAUCUACGGAUUGCGUGGGCGCCCCAUGGCUCGAUACGGUAACCAUCACGCCGGCCACAAAUUCGGCAGGGCCGAACACAGUAGACAAAGCUCAUUGGAGCUACGUCAUGAUAUAGCCCAGUACAGAGGCGCCGCACACCCACUAUGCUUUACAGACGAAAUAAUGGAUCAUCAAAUCCUCGAGGGUUUCAAACCCGUAAACAUCGAAUCAUAUGAUGGCACAAUAGAUCCUGUGGUAUGGAUCGAGGAUUAUCUCCUUCAUAUCCAUAUGGCCCGCGGCGAUGAUUUCCACGCCAUCAAAUACCUCCCACUCAAGCUUAAAGGACCAGCUCGGCAUUGGCUCAACAGCUUGCCAACAUGAUCAAUCAGUUGUCGGGAGGACCUAGAAGCCGCAUUCCUCGACAAUUUCCAGGGCACUUAUGUGCGACCCCCAGACGCCGAUGAUCUAAGUCACGUAAUUCAGCAGCCAGAGGAAUCGGCCAGGCAAUUCUGGACACGGUUCCUAACAAAGAAAAAUCAAAUAGUCGACUGUCCGGACGCUGAGGCCCUAGCAGCCUUCAAGCACAAUAUCCGUGACGAGUGGCGGCACCUUGGACAGGAAAAGCCAAAAUCUAUGGCAGCACUCACGACACUCAUGACCCGCUUUUGCGCGGGAGAAGAUAGCUGGCUUGCUCAUAGCAACAAUAUAACCAAGAACCCUGAUAAUUCGGACACCAGGGACAUUAGUGGCAGGUCGCGUCGCAACAAGCAGAAGCGCCGCAUUAACGGCGACAAUGCUGAGGAUACGACAGUUAAUGCCGGAUCCAGAGGCUCUAAAUCCGGUCAGCGGAAAAAGUCAUUCAAAAGGAAUCCUAGGGGCCCAUCCAGUUUGGACCGAAUACUCGACCGCUUGUGCCAGAUACAUGGCACCCCCGAAAAGCCGGUCAAUCACACCAACAGGGUUUGUUGGGUGUUCAAGCAGGCAGGCAAGUUAAAUGCCGAAAAUAAAGACAAGGGGCUGCAUAGCGAUGACGACGAGGAGCCCCGGCCGCCGAACAACAGUGGACAGAAGGGUUUUCCCCCACAAGUGCAGACGGUGAAUAUGAUAUACGCAACCCACAUCCCCAAAAGGGAGCAGAAGCGCGCGUUAAGGGACGUAUACGCGGUAGAGCCAGUCGCCCCAAAGUUCAACCCCUGGUCCUCCUGCCCGAUCACCUUUGAUCGAAGGGACCAUCCCACUAGCAUCCGUCAUGGCGGAUUCACCGCAUUGGUUCUAGACUCAAUCAUUGACGGAUUUCAUCUUACUAGAGUCCUUAUGGACGAUGGCAGCAGCCUGAACCUGCUUUACCAGGAUACAGUGCGGAAAAUGGGCAUAGAUCCCUCGAGGAUUAAGCCCACCAAAACGACCUUUAAAGGCGUAAUACUAGGUGUAGAGGCCAACUGUAUAGGCUCAGUCACACUUGAAGUGGUCUUCGGAUCUCCGGAUAAUUUCCGAAGCGAGGAGUUAAUCUUCGACAUAGUCCCGUUUCGUAGUGGUUAUCACGCACUGCUUGGGCGAACCGCAUUCGCUAAGUUCAAUGCGGUACCGCACUACGCAUACCUUAAGCUCAAGAUGCCAGGCCCUCGAGGAGUAAUUAUAGUCAAUGGAAACACCGAACGCUCCCUCCGAAUGGAGGAGCACACGGCGGCCCUUGAAGCGGAAGUACAAAGCAGCCUAUCCAGGCAGUUCUCCAAUCCGGCCACUAAACGACCGGACACCGUCAAGUGCGCCUGGAGUAACCUACAACAAGACCGCCUGGCACGAUCCGAGCAAGCGUAGCAAUGCGGCCCCAACCCCAACCCUCGCAAAAAGGCGACGCCAGUACUUCGCGUACAUAACUACGCUCUAGAGAUACCAUGGGUACAGGGGAGGGGCACCAUCACGGCACGCCCAAAACACGGCUUAAACCAUAUCAGGGGCUGCCAAUUUUUUAAUUUUCUCUUACUUUCAGGACUCCAUCCUUCGGAAGGCCUGUUCGGCAGUUCAAUUGCCGGACAAACGAUGUAAGAACCAGGGAAGCAGACAAGCCACGCCGCAUUACGGAACUCCCAGGUGGUCUCUAUCACGAGCAGUAUACCUGUUCCGUAUACUAUUCCAUAGCUUGCCCCUGGAACGGACAUGUUAACUAGUCCAACCUUCCACUUAUUGCAUUAUUUGUAUCGUUCUGCUUUGAUCGCAGCCCCUUCUUAAUAAACAAUACAUAGCUUUCGUCUAUUUUUGCAUUACCUUUUUUUGUUUAUAUAUGUUCCUUAAACGACAUGUUGCACCCGUACACGUUGGUACGGCCAAAAUACGCCAGGGGCUUUAGUACCCCUCAAUAUGGUGUGAGAAGUCCGAACACUUUAACAAGUGCGGCACCCCGAACUUAUAGCAUUAUAUGCAUCGGCUCCGAAUCAUGUCUUGGGUCAAUAGUUGGGUUUGCCCGGCUCCUAUGUUUUGGUGCCUUACGUUCCGCUAUAUCGGCUAAGGUAGCACUAGGAGAACCACUACGAUUGUGCCCUAAUUGAGCUGGGUCGAGCACCUCAGUGGAGAAAGCUAAAACUGACUGUCAUGAUGAAGCGAGAGCUGGUCGCUGUUCGAGAGGUUUUUCGAGUCCCUAAAGACUUAUGCCGCUUAGGGCGAGGAGCCGGCUCUGUCCGGCCAAGGCGUGGAGAGCGCCCCGAACUCGGUCUUCCGAAUACCAGGGGCUUUGCCAAAAUUUUAAAUUAUAGAAUUCUAUGGCUAAGUGAGAGUGUUCACGCAUUAUAGUCCGAUUGCCUUGUUCGUUGGGCUGAGCGCCUCCCUCGAAGGACCCAAACAUGGGAAAAAGAGCGCUCAGGUUUAUCCCCGAACACCCAGCACUAGCGGCACGGGGGCAGAAGCCGACGACUCGCCAUCUCUUAGAAUUGAUAAACAGCCGCACGGAAGGUAAUAUUUUAAAUCCCAACAGCAUUGCUUAGCGCAUAUAAACAAGUUUUCAGCGCACAUGACAAAACGAGCAAGUUUCACUCAAAAAUUACAUCCCUAGAACAUUCAUCCGCCACAAGGCAGGCACCCUUCAGAACAUCCUUAUAGUAAUUCUCGGGCUUGCGAUGCUCUUUCCCCGGCGGUGGCCCGUCCUUCACCAGCUUCUUAGCAUCCAGCUUGCCCCAGUGCACCUUAGCACGGGCAAGGGCCCUACGGGCACCUUCAAUGCAGACGGAGUGCUUGAUGACUUUGAGCCUUGGACAGGCCUCCACCAACCGCCGCACCAGCCCGAAAUAGCUCCCAGGCAAAGCCCCUCCAGGCCACAGCCGAACAAUGAGGCCCUUCAUGGCCUGUUCGGCCGCCUUGUGGUGCUCGACCAGUUGCUUCAGCUGGUCGCUCAGGGGCACGGGGUUUCCGGCCUCAGCAUACUGAGACCAGAACACCUUCUGUGUCGAGCUGCCCUCAUCGGCUCGAUAGAAUGCGGCGGCAUCGGACACACUCCGGGGAAGAUCUGCGAACGCUCCUGGAGAUCUCUGGAUUCGGGUAAGUAACAAGUAACUCACGUUUAUGUGUUUGCUUUGCAUAAAGAAUGCCUUACCCGCUGCUAUCUUCUUCACCUCAUCCAACUCCUGGAGGGUCUUCUGGGAUUCGGCCUUGGCAGACUUGGCAUUUUCAAUAGCCACCGCGAGCUCGGACGCUCGCGUCUUUGAGUCAAGCUCCAAACUCUCAUGUUUUUCCAUGAGAGCCUGGAGCUCUUGCCGCACCUUGCCAACCUCGGCCUCAUAUUUCUCCCGCUCGGUGCGCUCCGAGGCCGCCCUCUUCUCGGCCUCGACCAGCGCUUGCUUAAGGGUCGCCACUUCAGACGUGGCCCCUAAAAUAGCCACGAUAAUCCUGUCAUUCUUUGCAAUUGCACCUUUUUAUAUAUUUAAAAACAAGGUAUUUCUUACCUUCAUUAUCCUCGAGCUGCUUCUUGGCACGACCGAGCUCUUCCUCGGACCGCUCGAGGUUCUGCUUUAGCGUGUCCACUUCCGCAGUCAGUGCGGCGGACGCAAGCAGGGAAGCCUACAUAUGCAUAUUGACUCAUUUUUAUUAGACUCCUGCGAAUUCUAUUUGAUCCUCUAUUCGGCUUUUCUUCCUGAACGCCAAACAGAGCAUCAGGGGCUACUGUCUAUGCGGUAGUAUUAUUUACACAUUCUUUACUUACCUCAAAGCCUGUCAAAAGGCUAGUACAAGCUUCAGUUAGUCCGCUCUUGGCGGACUGAACCUUCUGGACCACCGCACUCAUAAUAGUGCGGUGCUCCUCGUCGAUGGAGGCGCCUUGGAGCGCCUCCAACAUAUUGUCCGGCGCCUCCGGUUGGACGGGGGCCGCCGGCAUGGUGGACUUGCUCCUCUUGGAAGGAGGUCCCCCGCCGGACUCGGGAACCUUUGAAGAUUCCGGAGCGGUGUCCGGCCUAGAGCCGGACUAGGAGCCCUGGGGGGUUUCAUCCCCUUUACACCUGGAGUCCGGGAGGUCGCCUUGCGGCGCCUCCAGGACCACCUCCUCCCGGCUUGGAACCUGUUGGGACAACACUUCGGUGUCAUCCGUAGGGCGGGGGGAGGAAGCCGUCGGAAGCGAGUUCACAUCCGACGAGUCCAGUGAGCCGCUCGACGACGCGUCGAGCCGGUCUUUGGGUGGGCUGCAUAAACAUAUUCGACGUAAGGGAAAGCUGUGCAAUAAACGAAUACUAUGAAUUACUCUGGUAUCCGGAUACUUAUGAUUUUGCCAGGGGCUUGGCCCUAGGCUACCACUCCUCUCCGCCGUCAACGUCGGUGGAGUAGUCCGGAGGAAGGGUUUUCCCCAUCUUGGACCCUCCGGCCUCCCCAGAGAGGGAGACCUUCCUUUUCUUCUCUCCUCCCGCUGGAGGGGGAGAGUUCUCCUGUUCUUCCUCCUCGUCUUCACGGGAGGAAUGCGCCUCGGAACCAUCGGAUGAUGGAUUCGACACCUCCUGGCGCCGGGCACUCUUUCGAGUCCCCGCGGCCUUUUUCGCGGCCUUCUUCUCCGGCACCACAUAGGGUGCCGGAACCAGCAGCUUCGCCAAGCGAGCGUCCGCUGGGCCUUCGGGCAGAGGAGCUGGACAGUUGAUCUGUCCGGACAUCACCUGCCAAUCCUGUCAAAGGUAAGGGAGCUUAGAUCCCGCAUGGAGUCAAACUAUGAAAAACUGAUACCCUGUAAAAGGAAAAAACAGCUUACCGCAAGAGCGUGACGCUGCGCACUGAAUCCAUGAUCCUCGGUGCCUUUGAAAAGCACCUUCCAGGCAUCUUCGUAUGUUGUGUCGAAGAGCCUGCUCAGAGUUUGGUGCCGCGCCGGGUCGAACUCCCAUAGGUUGAAAGCCCGUUGUUGACACGGGAGGAUCAGGCGGAUGAGCAUAACCUGGACUACGUUGACAAGUUUGAGCUUCUUGUCCGCCAGGGUUUGGAUGCAUGUUUGGAGUCCGGUCAGCUAUCCUUUUUUACCCCAAGACAGGCCCGUCUCCUUCCAGGAGGUGAGCCGCGUAGGGGGUCCGGAUCGAAACUCGGGGGUGCGACCCAUUCGGCAUCGCGCGACUCGAUGAUGUAAAACCACCCCGAUUGCCACCCCUUCAGGGUUUCCACAAAGGAGCCCUCGAGCCAUAGGACGUUGGCCAUCUUGCCCACCAUGGCACCUCCGCACUCUGCCUGGUUGCCGCGCACCACCUUUGGCUUGACGUUGAAAGUCUUGAGCCAUAGGCCGAAAUGGGGGCGGAUGCGGAGGAAGGCCUCGCACACGACGAUAAACGCCAAGAUAUUGAGGACAAAGUUCAGGGCCAGAUCGUGGAAAUCUAGGCCGUAGUAGAACAUGAGCCCCCAGACGAAUGGGUGGAGAGGGAAGCCCAGUCCGCGGAGGAAAUGGGGGAGGAACACCACCCUCUCAUGGGGCCUAGGGAUGGGGAUGAGCUGCCCCUUUUUGGGAAGCCGGUACGCGAUGUCGUUAGACUGGUAUCCGGCCUUCCUUAGCUUUUUGAUAUGUCCCUCCGUGACAAAGGAGAUCAUCCACUUGCCUCCCGCUCCGGACAUGGCUGGAGAAGGUUGAGGUGGGGAGUGCGGACCUGGGCGCUGGAGCUCGAGUGCGCAAGAAUGGAUAGGCAAAGGAGGAAGAAGGUGUAGGUGAAAAGGUGGAUCUUUAUCCCCUUAUAUGGGUGGACGCAACUACAUGUCCCCAACAGCCUGGUAAAACUCGCUUAUCUCCAAGCGCCGUAAUCAAUGGCGCGGUUGGGUUACCCACGCCCAUAUUGAUGAGAAUCCCGGGAUAAGGGGACACGAUCUCUGCUUUAACAAGACGUGCCAAGGAAACCGCCUCGCAUAACGCGCUGAGGUGGGAUAAUGAAACGACUCGGAUAAAGGCUUGGCCGUGGUGUGUCACGCUACGGAAUACGUCAGCAGAUUAGAUUGGUGUAAAUAUUAUUCUCUCUAUGGCAAUAUGUGGAAACUUAUUUUGCAGAGCCGGACACUAUCUUUGUGUUCAAAAUCUUCUACGAAGUACUUGGAGGAGGAACCCGCCUUGCAAUGCCGAAGACAAUCUGCGCGCCGGACUCGUCAUCAUUGAAGUCUGGUUCAGGGGCUACUGAGGGAGUCCUGGAUUAGGGGGUGUUCGGAUAGCCGGACUAUACCUUCAGCUGGACUCCUGGACUAUGAAGAUACAAGAUUGAAGACUUCGUCCCGUGUCCGGGAGGGACUUUCCUUGGCGUGGAAGGCAAGCUUGGCGAUACGGAUAUGUAGAUCUCCUACCAUUGUAACCGACUCUAUGUAACCCUAACCCUAUCUGGUGUCUAUAUAAACCGGAGGGUUUUAGUCCGUAGGACAACAUAGACAACGAUAAUCAUACCAUAGGCUAGCUUCUAGGGUUUAGCCUCCUCGAUCUCAUGGUAGAUCUACUCUUGUACUACCCAUAUCAUCAAUAUUAAUCAAGCAGGACGUAGGGUUUUACCUCCAUCAAGAGGGCCCGAACCUGGGUAAAAAUUUGUGUCCCUUGCCUCCUGUUACCAUCCGGCCUAGACGCACAGUUCGGGACCCCCUACCCGAGAUCCGCCGGUUUUGACACCGACAACGUCCGUUUGUCUUCUUCAGGGACUCGUUCUUCUUCCUUGCGGGAUUCCAUGUAAGAUGACCAUACCCUCGAAAUCACUUCUAUCUUUGCUUGCUAGUUUGCUCGCUCUAUUGCUAUGCCUAUGCUACGAUACCUACCACUUGCUUAUCAUGCCUCCCAUAUUGCUAAGCCAAGUCUCUAACCCACCUUGUCCUAGCAAACCCUUGUUUGGCUAUGUUACUGCUUUGCUCAGCCCCUCUUAUAGCGUUGUUAGUUGCAGGUGAAGAUUGGAGUUGUUCCUUGUUGGAACAUGGAUUUUGUUGGGAUAUCACAAUAUCUCUUAUUUAAUUAAUGCACCUAUAUACUUGGUAAAGGGUGGAAGGCUCGGCCUUAUGCCUGGUGUUUUGUUCCACUCUUGCCGCCCUAGUUUCUGUUAUACCGGUAUUAUGUUCCUUGAUUUUGCGUUCCUUAUGCGGUUGGGUUAUAAUGGGAACCCCUUGACAGUUCGCUUUGAAUAAAACUCCUCCAGCAAGGCCCAACCUUGGUUUUACCAUUUGCCACCUAAUCUUUUUCCCUUGGGUUCUGCAGACUCAAGGGUCAUCUUUAUUUUAACCCCCCGGGCCAGUGCUUCUCUAAAUGUUGGUCCAACCUGAGCGAUGUCCAGCGCCCCCUGGGCAACCAGGGUUUAUGCCAACCCGACGUCUUGCUCAUCCGGUGUGCCCUGAGAACGAGAUAUGUGCAGCUCCUAUCGGGAUUUGUUGGCACAUCUGGAAGGCUUUGCUGGUCUUGUUUUACCAUUGUGGAAAUGGCUUGUAACCGGGAUUCCAAGCCUGACCGGGUCUUCCUGGGAGAAGGAAUAUCCUUCGUUGACUGUGAGAGCUUGUGAUGGGCUAAGUUGGGACACCCCUACAGGGUUUUGAACUUUCGAAAGCCGUGCCCGCGGUUAUGAGCAGAUGGGAAUUUGUUAAUGUCCGGUUGUAGAGAACUUGACACUUAACUUAAUUAAAAUGCAUCAACCGCGUGUUUAGCCGUGAUGGUCUCUUUCCGGCAGAGUCCGGGAAGUGAACACGGCGUUGGUGUUAUGCUUGAACGUAAGUAGUUUCAGGAUCACUUCUUGAUCACUUCUAGUUUACGUCCGUGCUUUGCUUCUCUUCUCGCUCUCAUUUGCGUAGGUUAGCCACCAUAUAUGCUAGUGCUUGCUGCAGCUCCACCUCAUACCUUCUCCCUACCUAUAAGCUUAAAUAGUCUUGAUCACGAGGGUGUGAGAUUGCUGAGUCCCCGUGACUCACAGAUUACUUCCAAAACCAGUUGCAGGUGCCGAUGAUACCAAUGCAGAUGCCACAACUGAGCUCAAGUGGGAGCUCGAGGAAGAUCGUGUGUGUUGAGUUGUUUCGUUUCCAGUUGAUCAGUAGUGGAGCCCAGUCGGGGCGAUCAGGGAUCUAGAAUUAGGGGUGGUCUUCUUUUAUUUUGGUUCCGUAGUCGGAUCUUGUUUGUAUUUUGGAUGAUGUAAUGCUAUAUUUAUGUAUUGUGUGAAGUGGCGAUUGUAAGCCAAUUCUCUAUCCCUUUCUUAUUCAGUACAUGGGAUGUGUAAAGAUUACCCCUCUUGUGACAUGCCUACUAUGCGGUUAUGCCUCUAAGUUGUGCUCCGACACGUGGGAGAUAUAGCCGCAUCGUGGGUGUUACAAGUUGGUAAUCAGAGCCUUCCCCGACUUAGGAGCCCCCUGCUUGAUCGAAUUGCUGGCGUUGUUGAGUCUACAAAAAUGUUUUGAGUCUUAUAGGAUUAUAUAUAUAUCGGAGAGUAGGAUUCUUUUACUCCUCAGUCCCUUCGUCGCUCUGGUGAGGCAUCCUGACGUAGAGUUUUGACUCUUCUCUUCUCAAAUUUCACUAAAAAAAAA